rnacentral:rRNA from 1 species
GCCAGAGCCACAUCUUCCUGCAGUUCUUGUCUGGUUUCCCACUGAAGCUGAGCAGGGUUGAGCCUGGCCAGUACCUGUAUGGGAGACCUCCUGGGGAAAACUAAGGUUGUUGCUGGAA